rnacentral:rRNA from 1 species
CGGGCGUAGCAAUACGUCAGCGGCAGACGGGUGAGUAACGCGUGGGAACGUACCUUUUGGUUCGGAACAACACAGGGAAACUUGUGCUAAUACCGGAUAAGCCCUUACGGGGAAAGAUUUAUCGCCGAAAGAUCGGCCCGCGUCUGAUUAGCUAGUUGGUGUGGUAACGGCGCACCAAGGCGACGAUCAGUAGCUGGUCUGAGAGGAUGAUCAGCCACAUUGGGACUGAGACACGGCCCAAACUCCUACGGGAGGCAGCAGUGGGGAAUAUUGGACAAUGGGCGCAAGCCUGAUCCAGCCAUGCCGCGUGAGUGAUGAAGGCCCUAGGGUUGUAAAGCUCUUUUGUGCGGGAAGAUAAUGACGGUACCGCAAGAAUAAGCCCCGGCUAACUUCGUGCCAGCAGCCGCGGUAAUACGAAGGGGGCUAGCGUUGCUCGGAAUCACUGGGCGUAAAGGGUGCGUAGGCGGGUCUUUAAGUCAGGGGUGAAAUCCUGGAGCUCAAUCCAGAACUGCCUUUGAUACUGAGGAUCUUGAGUUCGGGAGAGGUGAGUGGAACUGGAGUGUAAGGUGAAAUUCGUAGAUUUCGCAGAACACCAGUGGCGAAGGGUCAUGGCCCGAUUAUGACGCUGAGGCACGAAAGCGUGGGGAGCAACGGGAUUAGAUACCCUGGUAGUCCACGCCGUAAACGAUGGGUGCAAGGUGUGGAAGGUGUCG